rnacentral:rRNA from 1 species
GACGAACGCUGGCGGCGUGCUUAACACAUGCAAGUCGAACGGAAAGGCGCUGCUUUUGUGGGGUGCUCGAGUGGCGAACGGGUGAGUAACACGUGAGUAACCUGCCCUUGACUUUGGGGUAACUUCAGGAAACUGGGGCUAAUACCGGAUAGGAGCUCCUGCUGCAUGGUGGGGGUUGGAAAGUUUCGGCGGUUGGGGAUGGACUCGCGGCUUAUCAGCUUGUUGGUGGGGUAGUGGCUUACCAAGGCUAUGACGGGUAGCCGGCCUGAGAGGGUGACCGGCCACAUUGGGACUGAGAUACGGCCCAGACUCCUACGGGAGGCAGCAGUGGGGAAUAUUGCACAAUGGGCGGAAGCCUGAUGCAGCAACGCCGCGUGCGGGAUGACGGCCUUCGGGUUGUAAACCGCUUUCGCCUGUGACGAAGCGUGAGUGACGGUAAUGGGUAAAGAAGCACCGGCUAACUACGUG